rnacentral:lncRNA from 10 species
CAGGAGGGGAGAGGGUGGAAGAAGUUGUUCUUCACCAGUAGCAUACACAACAGCCUAGAAAACAACCAGGCAAACUGUAUCUGUAAGGAAAGGGAGCAGCCAGAGGCUUCAUCCGAAAACAAGUCCUGUUUUCAGCGGACUUUGGCAGAGUUGAGAGAAGACUAACCUAUUGGCAAGCCUUGCCAGAAGAUGCUAAAUGAAAGGAAGAAAAGUAAGUACCACUAAUUGAGCACUGACUGUGUGUGAAAUGUAUUAUCUUCUCCCUUGAUCACUGUCCCACAAACCCAUUUUUCAGAUGAGAAAACUGAGGCUGGGAGGAGUGAGCCACUUGCCCAAGCAAACACAGCUAACAAGCUCUAAGCACUGUGAGGACAGAGGUCCUGUUGGCCUCAUGCACCACUGUCUAGACCUGCACCCACUGUUCAGAAUGGCAGCCAUGAGCCACGUGUGGCAACUGGGUACUCAAGUGAGGCAGCCGUGAAUUGAGAUGUGCUAUGAAAGUAAAAUACACCUGGAUUUCAGAAACUUCAAAUGAAAACGAUAAUGUAAAAUGUAUUGUGAUAUUUUGGAUAUAUUGGGUUAAAUAAAAUACAUUAAAGCAUAU